GAUCAUGGCUCAGAUUGAACGCUGGCGGCAUGCUUUACACAUGCAAGUCGAACGGUAACAGGCCUUCGGGCGCUGACGAGUGGCGAACGGGUGAGUAAUGCAUCGGAACGUGCCCAGUCGUGGGGGAUAACUACUCGAAAGAGUGGCUAAUACCGCAUGUGAUCUACGGAUGAAAGCAGGGGACCGCAAGGCCUUGCGCGAACGGAGCGGCCGAUGGCAGAUUAGGUAGUUGGUGGGAUAAAAGCUUACCAAGCCGACGAUCUGUAGCUGGUCUGAGAGGACGACCAGCCACACUGGGACUGAGACACGGCCCAGACUCCUACGGGAGGCAGCAGUGGGGAAUUUUGGACAAUGGGCGAAAGCCUGAUCCAGCCAUGCCGCGUGCAGGAUGAAGGCCUUCGGGUUGUAAACUGCUUUUGUACGGAACGAAAAGACUCUGGUUAAUACCUGGGGUCCAUGACGGUACCGUAAGAAUAAGCACCGGCUAACUACGUG
rnacentral:rRNA from 1 species